rnacentral:snRNA from 1 species
CUGUUCAGGUUGGCAGCAAACAUACUCAACUGGAAUGAUAUAGGGAAGAUUGGCAUUGUCCCUGUACAAAGAUGACACAAAUUCAUAAAAACAAAACAAAACAGUG